UUACGACCAUGUCAGUUUGAAACACCUCAUCUCGUACAAUCAGCGAAGUUAAGCAACGUCGAGACUAGUCAGUACCUAAAUGGGUGACCACUUAGAAAUCCUAGAUGAUG